rnacentral:snRNA from 1 species
AUUAGAAUUAAAAAAAAGA